rnacentral:rRNA from 1 species
GAUGAACGCUGGCGGCGUGCUUAACACAUGCAAGUCGAACGAAGCGAUUUAGCGGAAGUUUUCGGAUGGAAGUUAAAUUGACUGAGUGGCGGACGGGUGAGUAACGCGUGGGUAACCUGCCUCACACUGGGGGACAACAGUUAGAAAUGACUGCUAAUACCGCAUAAGCGUACAGGACCGCAUGGUCCGGUGUGAAAAACUGCGGUGGUGUGAGAUGGACCCGCGGUUGAUUAGCUAGUUGGUGGGGUAACGGCCUACCAAGGCGACGAUCAAUAGCCGACCUGGGAGGGUGAACGGCCACAUUGGGAAUGAGACACGGCCCAAAAUCCUACGGGAGGCAGCAGUGGGGAAUAUUGCACAAUGGGGGAACCCCUGAUGCAGCGACGCCGAGUGAGUGAAGAAGUAUUUCGGUAUGUAAAGCUCUAUCAGCAGGGACGAAAAUGACGGUACCUGACUAAGAAGCCCCGGCUAACUACGUGCCAGCCGCCGCCGUAA